AUUUUAAUUAAUUUAUUCAUUAACUUGUUAAAAUAUUAUUUUACUAAUACUUAGAUACUUAUUAUUUUGAUAAAUUAUUUUUAUUUUUAAUUAUAAUUAUUCUUAUUCUUACUAUUCCAACCCAAUUAAUCACCCAAAUGUAAUUUUUCUUAUAUCUCUAAAUAUUUCGAUUCUCGUCCAAAUACAAAAUUGAGCUAAUUUCUGCCUAUCUCAGUUAUACCUAUUUGGCUAUUUCAAGAAUAAAAAAAAAAAACUUCAAAUACCACCCUUGUGGUUUCACACUUUCUUAUUUUAGUAUCCUGUGGUUUAAAGUGUAUCAAUUUUGGUACCCUGUGGUUUUAUUUUUUUCUUUUUAUCAUUCAUUCCACUAAUUUUUUUUCGUUAAAUCAAUAACAAAGUUAAAACUAAAGGAUACUAAAGUGAAUAUUCGAUAAACCUAGAUGGGUGUAUCUGAAGUUUUUUAUAUAUAAUUUAAUGAAAAAUUAACGGAGAAGCUGACGAAAAGAGAAAAAUGAAUCCACAGGAUAUUAACUUGAUACACUUUAAACCACAUGAUACUAAAGUAAGAAAGUGCGAAACCACUGGAGUGGUAUUUGAAGUUUACCCUAAAUAAAAAUAGCAUGUUCUCGAACCAAACAGUAUCUAAA
rnacentral:lncRNA from 1 species